CCUGAAGAGAGCAGGUUUGCAGAGGGCGGCCUUCCCGUGGCUGGAAGAGGAGCACCAACCACACAGCCCUUGUUUUUAUUCAAGUAACUGAAGGCUAAGUUGCUGAUCGGCCCACCCUGGGAGGGAAACUUCAGAAAAGAGGACUGUGCAGCCAGAAGCCCGAGACGGGAGGAGCAGAGCAAUGACAGCUUUUGGAUGCACAUCACAGGACCCAUGAUCCAGAGAAGAGGACCAGUCCUGCUGUGGGCUUUUGAGUGUGAAUUUGGAGAGAGCCCCAAGAUGCCCCGGAAGAGGCUGUGAUGGCAGAGCCGAUGAAAUUGGCUGUGGUCAGGACAAAGAUGCUUGGUGCACCUCAGGCAGCG